GUUUUUUAAUCACAUAAUAUAAAUAAAGAAACUUUGAAUGAUGGCAACUGCUUGUCGGAUAGAACAACACUAUUUUUCAAGAGAUCAUUUUUUUCAAUCCAUCGCUUUUGAGCAGUAUAGCAGUAAGCAACGUAGUGGCCUAUUUGACUAUCACCCAUGGGUGAUCUUUAGCAUAAUCUGAGCUGGCAACCAAGUGUUCAACAGCUUCGAACCACUUUCCAGGAUCACGCCGUUUGGAGACCAUUGAUGCAGCUGCUCCGCGAGACGGAUAAAGGAUCUAAUGGAAUUUUAGGAAAAAGCGAGGAGGAAGACGAUCUACUAACCGUUGCAUCGGAUACUUUAUGUAACUUACUUUUAGAGUUCAGUCCUAGCAAGGAACCAAUUCUAUAGUCCGGAGGAGUCGAACUUCUCUGCUCUUUAACUAAAAGGUCAUACCCGGCGCUGAGACUGAAUGGAAUCUGGGCUCUGAUGAAUGUAGCUUUUCAAGCAGAGCAAAGAGUAAAAUCGCAGAUAUUAACGUGAUUAGGAACUGAUCAAAUUUUUCGUCUACUCGCUGAUCCGGAAUUUGCUGUCUUGAUGAAAACGUUAGGCUUAUUAAGAAAUCCCCUGUCAACCAAAACUCACAUGGAUUGAAUCAUGGCUGAUCAUGCGGCGCAUGUAAUGCAAGCUGUCAUUUUGGCUUUCGAAGAUCCAGUUCAUCCUGCCGAUGUAAAAGAGCAAGCGCUUUGUAUUCUGGCCAACGACGCAGACGGAGACCGAGCGAGAGACCAUAUAAUGACAAACGAAGAUGUUUUGAAGAAACUUAUGGAUUACAUGAUGCAUAGCAAUGUCAAACUACAAGUAGCAGCAAUAUUUUGCGUUUGCAAUCUCGUUUGGAGAGAGGAGGCUGGAGCGGCGCAGCGUCAGGCUCGUUUGAAAGAAUUGAGUUUAUAUAGGAUUUCACUGCAAUUGCGACGCACGAAGGACACACAGCUAUUUGAUAAGUACGUUGACUGUUUCUAGGAUGAAAAAGGCGUUAGCACAGUUUUUCGAUGCUUGAAGAUUCAACGAAGUGAGAGGCUCAACCGUGUUUACAGAAUAUAUAAUCAUUUACUAGGACGUUUAUUAAAUUAUUAAAUAGUAUAAAUAAGGCCCAUAUUAUAAGACCGAUGCGUGUUAUUAUAUACGAUAUAAGUUUGAAGUCAGUGGAUCUUAUCAUGAAAUUGUUGCUAGUAAGUUUGUAAAUUUUAUUGUAAAAUAAAAGAAAAAUCUAAAACCACUUAUCACAUAAACUAUAAA